UCGGCUGACGGCUCAGUAACACGUGGAUAACCUGCCCUCAGGUAGGGGAUGAUCUCGGGAAACUGAGGAUAAUACCCUAUAGACAUCCUUUGCUGGAAUGCUUGGAUGUUCAAAGGCAACGCCUGAGGAUGGGUCUGCGGCCUAUCAGGUAGUAGUGGGUGUAACGGACCCACUAGCCAGCGACGGGUACGGGCCUUGAAAGAGGUAGCCCGGAGAUGGACUCUGAGACACGAGUCCAGGCCCUACGGGGCGCAGCAGGCGCGAAAACUUCGCAAUGCGGGAAACCGUGACGAGGGAAUUCCGAGUGCUCAUACAAUGUAUGGGCUUUUCUUAUGUGUAAAUAGCAUGAGGAAUAAGGGCUGGGUAAGACCGGUGCCAGCCGCCGCGGUAAUACCGGCAGCUCUAGUGGUAGCCACUUUUAUUGGGCCUAAAGCGUCCGUAGCCGGUCGGGUAAAUCCUUGGGUAAAUCGUACAGCUCAACUGUGCGGCUUCCGGGGAGACUGCCCGACUUGGGACCGGGAGAGGUUGGAGGUACUCCUGGGGUAGGGGUGAAAUCCUGUAAUCCUAGGUGGACCACCGGUGGCGAAGGCGUCCAACCAGAACGGCUCCGACGGUGAGGGACGAAGGCUAGGGGCGCAAACCGGAUUAGAUACCCGGGUAGUCCUAGCUGUAAACGCUGCAGACUUGGUGUUGGAGAUCCUACGAGGGUGUCCAGUGCCGGAGAGAAGUUGUUAAGUUUGCCGCCUGGGAAGUAUGGCCGCAAGGCUGAAACUUAAAGGAAUUGGCGGGGGAGCACCGCAACGGGAGGAGCGUGCGGUUUAAUU
rnacentral:rRNA from 1 species